UUUGAACCGGUUUAGGCCAGUUUGAACCGGUCUAAACCGGUUGGAACCGGUUCAAACCGGUUUGAACCGGUUUAGGCCAGUUUGAACCGGUCUAAGCCGGUUGGAU